rnacentral:rRNA from 1 species
CCUAGGGGUGGCAGCAGUGGGGAAUAUUGGACAAUGGGCGAAAGCCUGAUCCAGCCAUGCCGCGUGUGUGAAGAAGGCCUUCGGGUUGUAAAGCACUUUCAGUGGGGAAGAAAGCCUUGGGGCUAAUACCCUCGAGGAAGGACAUCACCCACAGAAGAAGCACCGGCUAACUCCGUGCCAGCAGCCGCGGUAAUACGGAGGGUGCGAGCGUUAAUCGGAAUUACUGGGCGUAAAGCGCGCGUAGGCGGUCUGAUAAGCCGGUUGUGAAAGCCCCGGGCUCAACCUGGGAACGGCAUCCGGAACUGUCAGGCUAGAGUGCAGGAGAGGAAGGUAGAAUUCCCGGUGUAGCGGUGAAAUGCGUAGAGAUCGGGAGGAAUACCAGUGGCGAAGGCGGCCUUCUGGACUGACACUGACGCUGAGGUGCAAAAGCGUGGGUAGCAAACAGGAUUAGAUACCCGGGUAGUC